UUGAACGCUGGCGGCAUGCUUUACACAUGCAAGUCGAACGGCAGCGCGGGCUUCGGCCUGGCGGCGAGUGGCGAACGGGUGAGUAAUGCAUCGGAACGUGCCCAGUAGUGGGGGAUAGCCCGGCGAAAGCCGGAUUAAUACCGCAUACGACCUGAGGGUGAAAGCGGGGGACCGAAAGGCCUCGCGCUAUUGGAGCGGCCGAUGUCGGAUUAGCUAGUUGGUGGGGUAAAGGCUUACCAAGGCGACGAUCCGUAGCUGGUCUGAGAGGACGACCAGCCACACUGGGACUGAGACACGGCCCAGACUCCAGCGGGAGGCAGCAGUGGGGAAUUUUGGACAAUGGGGGCAACCCUGAUCCAGCCAUGCCGCGUGCGGGAAGAAGGCCUUCGGGUUGUAAACCGCUUUUGUUCGGGAAGAAAUCCUCUGGGCUAAUACCCCGGGGGGAUGACGGUACCGGAAGAAUAAGCACCGGCUAACUACGUG
rnacentral:rRNA from 1 species